CGGGGGGGCAAGCGUUGUUCGGAAUUACUGGGCGUAAAGGGCUCGUAGGCGGCCAACUAAGUCAGACGUGAAAUCCCUCGGCUUAACCGGGGAACUGCGUCUGAUACUGGAUGGCUUGAGUUUGGGAGAGGGAUGCGGAAUUCCAGGUGUAGCGGUGAAAUGCGUAGAUAUCUGGAGGAACACCGGUGGCGAAGGCGGCAUCCUGGACCAACACUGACGCUGAGGAGCGAAAGCCAGGGGAGCAAACGGGAUUAGAUACCCCGGUAGUCCUGGCCCUAAACGAUGAAUGCUUGGUGUGGCGGGUAUCGAUCCCUGCCGUGCCGAAGCUAACGCAUUAAGCAUUCCGCCUGGGGAGUACGGUCGCAAGGCUG
rnacentral:rRNA from 1 species